UCGCGGGAGCGAAGGGUCGCGCGGGCUUGGUUUUGCUGCUGCCAUUUUCUUCAGUAGCUGCUGUCAAGUUGGUUCUUUGUUUGAUGCUGCUGUCCCGACUGGUGAGAUUCUUGUGCGCACAACGUCCAUCAGACUUGCCCGCUGAUGCCCACGACAUGAGUGUGGACUUGCUCCCUGCAACCUUGGUCUGCUUUUGUGGGCGCAAUUACCUCACCACUUCUGUGCUUGACGGCGGCGUCUGAAGCAGCAUACCUAUAUCGCCGAACCCUCGUGUGCUACCUACUGUGUGCCAGCUUUUGCAGCUGAAUGUGUGAGCUUUCUCCGUGGGAUCGUUGCAAGCGUGAAAGCGUCGUUUCUUCCUUCUGCCUCAAUUGCGAUCACUGGAGCCAUGGUGUACUGUUGUGUGCCAUUUUGCAAAUCCCAACAGGGGAAGACGCCGGGUGUUUCCUUUCACCAAUUUCCUAGCGAUGCGGAACUGUGUUCUAAGUGGCGAAAAAGCAUUUCUCGUGAAAAUCUCGUCAUCAACGACAAGUCCGCAUCAACUGUAGUGUGUAGCAAACACUUCAAUGAGAGUGAUUAUGUUCCCGGAUGCCGAAUACGGAAGUUGCUCGUGGGAGUUGCACCGACCGUCUUCAAACUAUAUCCGUCCUACAUGGUGCCAGCUGCAAAGAGACCGCGUAAGGACCCUGCAUAUCGUGACCCCCCAGCUCCUAGAAAUUCACCAAAGCGGAAAGCAGAGUCGCUGUUGCCUGUUCAUGAAGAUUUUGGUGCCAGGGAGGAGGUAACCGAGGAAAAACAAAGUGCUUCAACACAAACCAACAGUAACAACGCUCACCGAUCUAGUUACUAUCUUGUCAUUAUGAAAAGGCUUCGGGCUCAAGUUGCCUACCAGCGCUCGAAGUGCGCGGGGCUCCUGAGAAAGCUUGCCGUAGACAAAGAAAAGAUGAACGAAUACAACGACGACAAACACUAUAUUGCCGUCAAAAAGAUUGUUGCCGAUUCCCAGAAAGGUGAGAAAAAGGCUGUUUUUCUCCGUCACCAGAUUGAAGUCUAUGGCAGUAAACGACCAUGUUAUUCUGAAGAAGUUGUCAGAGAGUGUGUGAUUUGGCGCUUCCUUUCGCCAAAAGGUUAUGAUCACGCCCGAAAAUCUGACCUCUUGACACUGCCGGCGAAGUGUACGCUUCAGAGGUACGUGGGCCCAAGCCCAACGUCUUCAGGUAUGAGUCCUGCGAUGAAGGAGAGGCUGAUCUUUGAGGCCUCGAUGCUCAGCAGCAAACAGCGCAUGGCGUCGUUGAUCGUAGACGAGGCUGCCAUUAAGCAAAAAUGUGUGUAUGACAGAAAGGCCGACACAGUUUUUGGUCUCAAAGACAAACCCAGCAACAGUGCGGCAAGCAGCUCGGCAGAGACUCUUGCAAAUAGAGUACUGUGCUUUGUUCUGCAUGGUGUGGCGAAUUCAUACAGGAUACCAUGUGCCUACUACUUUACGAAACAGCUGAGUGGGAGAGACCUGUUUGCCUGGACCAAGGAGGUAAUCUCUGCUGUGGAGUCCUGCGGAUUCGUAAUUGUCAGAAUCGUUACAGAUAAUUACUCAGCAAAUGUCACUAUGCUUAAACACAUGGGAAGUGGAUGUUUGUCUUCAGUAGUCCCCCAUCCUCACGAUUCAGAUAGAGUCAUGUUCCUGAGUUUUGACCCUUGUCAUAUCCUCAAAAACAUACGCAGCCAGUUCCUGGAACGUGAACUUACAGACGGCACAGAGGUCAUUACUGGGAAGUUUGUACAGAAACUUUAUGAAUUUCAAAAAGACAAAACCGUUAAACUGGCAAGAAACUUGACCAGGAAGCACGUUUACCCGUCGAACUUAGAAAAAAUGAACGUGCUCCGCGCAGUUCAGAUAUUCUCCCCGCAAGUGAUUGCAGCGUUGUGUCAUCUCCAGGAGAACCGGUUCGGCGACCCAGCUCUUUACAGUUUCAGAGGAGUGAGCCCAACAAUAUUGUUCAUGAAGAUGAUGAAGCAAUGGUUCGACGUCCAUGACACGGUGUACAGUGGCAGUGACAACAAGAAGCCGAUCUCUGACGAAAACGACCACAGAAUACUAUGGCUGGAGAAGGAUUUUACCUGUUACGUGAGGAAUAUUCAAGAGGAGUCAAUUGCAUCAGGAAAGGGUGAAUUCACAGAUGAAACGUACAGCGCCUUGCUGUUCACCACGAAGGCAACAGUGGAGACAAGGUUCCUCUUAAGGAGGGGAAUCAAAUAUGUCCUGACAAGGAACUUUAGCAGUGACCCAGUUGAAGCACUCUUCGGACGGCUCAGGUCCAUGUGUGGGGGUAACGAUGUGCUUGAUGCAAGGGCUGUCACAAUUGCCCUUGAUAACAUUGUCAAAGGCAAGGCCAUCCCUCUAAAGCAAAUGCAGGCGACAGAUGCUCAUGCUGAAGAGCUUGCUACAGCUGUACCACAGGAGGUAAUUGCACAGCUGGAGAACCUGAAAGGACACUUUUUGGAUCCAUCCACCUCAAUGACAUACUCCGGUCUGGUGUAUGUUGGGGGGUACCUCGUAAAACUCAUUAGUGAGUUUGGUUGUGAUGCAUGUGUGAUGAUGGUGACGACGACUAACAAAGGGGAUCCUUUGUACACUCUAUUGCGCGAACAGAACAAAAGUGGACUGCAUUACCCGAAUCGCAUGUUCUUGGCACUUUUGGACAGCAUUGUGGCUUUCUUUGAAGCAGCUGCGAAGCACCUUCCGCGAACAAAAGUGCAUGAAGUGCUGCAACUUCUCGUUGCACCCUACCUUGAACAAUCGCCCAUCUUGAACUGCCCAGAAGAUGUUGGCAAUGGUCACACAAGGCGCACAGCUAAUGUGAUUGCUGACAAAUUUGUCAGACUGCUUCUAGUAAAUCACACAAAGAUGGUAACGGAAAAAAAUGAAAAACCAGUUCCUUACGUGCACAAGCCAUCCAGAAAAUAUUUUAGGCUAUAAUGUACAUACAUGAUGUGAAGGUUGUUGGCACCAAAAUGUACAAGAGUGCACUGUAUUGAUGAGGAAAUAAAUAGUUUGUACCUGUAAAAUUUUUAUUUGUGUUGUAGCCUCGCAGUAUCUGUACCUUUCUUAUAAAUUGAAGUGCGUGUACUGAGAUAAUCAUUUCCCCUUUGUAACGACAUGUGUAUUCAAUAAUUGUGGGUGUUGGCUUAAGCUUCCCCUUUAAUCUUGACAGCGUCGUCUGCUACAGGCUUGCGGCUUCAAGCAGAGGCUGUAAGCCGUUUCAUCCACAUCGUACGAGGCUAUGGUGUUGACUACCGACACUGAAAAUAAAGAUUAGGCUUUAAAAUUUGAGAUAACUUGCGUCUGACAGCCGGAAUUACACAGCUCUUGCUUAUAUGCAUCCUGCCGGAGCGCAUCUGUGAACGCGCUUUGCGGAGGCGGCAGCGGUUAAGCAGCGGUUAGAGAGCCUACAUACGGGACUUCCGUCUAGAGUGGUGUCAGCCUUUGACACACCACAUGCCGCCGGCCGCCAAAACACAUAGUUGCCCGAGAGAGACGCAGCGCCAUCUUGGUCCCCACACCAGUUUGCUCUGUGCUUGCCGCCGUGAGCCGUGCAGCGGAAUCGCGUUUAAUCCUUGUCUAGGCAGCGUCGAAGGCUGUGGAAACGUGUUAAAUGCGGUCAGCGAAGCCUGAGGAGCAAAAAUGCCUGGUUGUUGCGUACCUCUGUGCACUAACCACUGCAGGAAGGGCGUGCGAAUGUUUCGCUUCCCAACCAGCCCGAGCCGAAGAAAACGCUGGCUCGCGCAAGUGAAGCGAGACUGCUGGGAGCCCACCACCGCUUCACGUGUUUGCUAUGUGAGUACUGUCUGUUUUCCUCGUUGUUUUUCUUUCGCUGUAGAAUAAGCUUUAUGAAUUUGACCGUCUCAACGUAUCCAGAUAAUCGAACGUGUCGUUUCUGGGAUUAUGUGUCGCGAGUAGGAAGAUCAGCUGUAGUUUCAAGAGCUUUUUCACCUGGAUGUGUUGUCCAUGCUCGCGCCGGCUUUCCACGGGCGUGAAAUUGAGCCGCGUGGUGCUGAUCACAAAUGUGUCUCGACGGAGAGGCUAGGUGACUAGUCGACGUGGUGCUUUAUCCUGUUGUAACAGCGAGUAGCGAGGAUCACUCGAGCACGCGGUUGUCGAUAAGAUAUGUGCAGCCCGCGCUCUUUUUAAGACGCGUAAAUUGACGUGUCUUCUUUGACGUCGAGUCACCGCUUCCAUCCCGACAAAAUAUUUACACUACUGAACGGAACUUCUCGCCAAAAGCCCUGAGUUGGUAGUUCAAUGAGCGUUUGAAGCUGCAUCGGCACUUUUACUAUUGGUGUGCUGUUGCAUCUAUUUUGUGCACAGAAUGAUCAAGCUACGAAUGCAUAAUGGGAGAACACGUUUGAGGACUGACUUCAGAGGCAAAUGUGCACAUAUAGUUUUUAUCAGUUGUGAACUACAUUACAAUGAACAGUCGAGCGCCCGCUUCGCGAACUUGUACGGCUGAAAGAUUUUCCUUCUAAUGCGUCUUGCGUGCAGCCCCGUUCGGAACGUUCACGUGAAUGCACUUACUUAAUUAUGCUAACGGCCGUGUGGUGACAUUUAUUGCAGGCUCAUUUCGAAGAUUCAAGCUUCGAACAGAAAAGGCAAGAUGGCUUGAAGAAAUUGAGGCCAGAUGCCGUUCCAACAGUUUUUGCUUUUCGAUCCGCCCCCAAACAUCGGAAGCCACCAAAGAAGCGCAGCUGUCCUGUGCAGCCUUCCUGCGAUGCCACCCCUGCAACUUCCCCGGAGCCACACCAGCC